AUCCAUUUGUAUCUUGCAGUGCCAACUAUUGGCAUUUACAUACAGUUAAAUAUAAAAGAAAAUGCUAUGACAAGUUGGUCGGUACAGCGCAAAGGAACCUAGCUUCCCGUUUAUGAGAGUUAUGGCGAUUUGUGAAUUUGUAUGUGCUUUGUUAUUAAAACGUUUUAUGCAAAAUUAAGGUCGUUUCGGGGAAUCACGGACACUGUGUUCGGCAUUACCAGACAUGCGACUAAGCGCCGGAAACAAAAGUCUGAGAUUCUUACAUCUACACCUUUUAAGGCUACGUUAGAAGAGAAACAAAGAAAAA